ACGGGUGUAGCUCAGUUGGUAGAGCAUCGGUCUCCAAAACCGAGUGUCGGGAGUUCGAGUCUCUCCACCCGUG
rnacentral:tRNA from 3 species